ACCCUUUGGGGUGUGACUGCGUACCUUUUGUAUAAUGGGUCAGCGACUUAUAUUCUGUAGCAAGGUUAACCGAAUAGGGGAGCCGGAGGGAAACCGAGUCUUAAUUGGGCGUUAAGUUGCAGGGUAUAGACCCGAAACCCGGUGAUCUAGCCAUGGGCAGGUUGAAGGUUGGGUAACACUAACUGGAGGACCGAACCGACUAAUGUUGAAAAAUUAGCGGAUGACCUGUGGCUGGGGGUGAAAGGCCAAUCAAACCGGGAGAUAGCUGGUUCUCCCCGAAAGCUAUUUAGGUAGCGCCUCGUGAAUUCAUCUCCGGGGGUAGAGCACUGUUUCGGCUAGGGGGCCAUCCCGGCUUACCAACCCGAUGCAAACUGCGAAUACCGGAGAAUGUUAUCACGGGAGACACACGGCGGGUGCUAACGUCCGUCGUGAAGAGGGAAACAACCCAGACCGCCAGCUAAGGUCCCAAAGUCAUGGUUAAGUGGGAAACGAUGUGGGAAGGCCCAGACAGCCAGGAUGUUGGCUUAGAAGCAGCCAUCAUUUAAAGAAAGCGUAAUAGCUCACUGGUCGAGUCGGCCUGCGCG
rnacentral:rRNA from 1 species